rnacentral:tRNA from 1 species
GCGAGAGUGGUGGAAUUGGUAGACACGCCGGUUUUAGGAGCCGGUGCUUCGGCGUAAGGGUUCAAGUCCCUUCUCUCGCA